rnacentral:rRNA from 1 species
UACGGAGGGUGCGAGCGUUGUCCGGAAUCACUGGGCGUAAAGGGCGCGUAGGCGGCGCGGGAAGUCAUCGGUGAAAGCUCAGGGCUCAACUCUGAGUCGGCCGGUGAUACUCUCGUGCUUGAGCACUGUAGAGGCAGGUGGAAUUCCGGGUGUAGCGGUGGAAUGCGUAGAGAUCCGGAAGAACACCGGUGGCGAAGGCGGCCUGCUGGGCAGUAGCUGACGCUGAGGCGCGACAGCGUGGGGAGCAAACAGG